rnacentral:rRNA from 1 species
AUUGAACGCUGGCGGCAGGCCUAACACAUGCAAGUCGAACGGUAGCACAGAGAGCUUGCUCUUGGGUGACGAGUGGCGGACGGGUGAGUAAUGUCUGGGAAACUGCCCGACGGAGGGGGAUAACUACUGGAAACGGUAGCUAAUACCGCAUAACGUCUUCGGACCAAAGUGGGGGACCUUCGGGCCUCACACCAUCGGAUGUGCCCAGAUGGGACUAGCUAGUAGGUGGGGUAAAGGCUUACCUAGGCGACGAUCCGUAGCUGGUCUGAGAGGAUGACCAGCCACACUUGAACUGAGACACGGUCCAGACUCCUUCGGGAGGCAGCAAUGGGGAAUAUUUCACAAUGGGCUCAAGCCUGAUGCAGCCAUGCCGCGUGUAUGAAGAAGGCCUUCGGGUUGUAAAGUACUUUCAGCGGGGAGGAAGGCGUUAAGGUUAAUAACCUUGGCGAUUGACGUUACCCGCAGAAGAAGCACCGGCUAACUCCGUGCCAGCAGCCGCAGUAA